UACAGAGGAGCCAAGCGUUGUCCGGAUUGACUGGGCGUAAAGCGCACGCAGGCGGGUGCGCGCGUGGGGUGUGAAAUCUGGCCGCUUAACGGCCAGGCGCCAUCCCAUACGGCGCGCCUGGAGCCUUGCAGAGGUCGGUGGAAUUGCCGGUGUAGUGGUGAAAUGCGCAGAUAUCAGGAGGAACACCGGUGGCGAAGGCGCCACUCUGGGCCGGUACUGACGCUGAGGAGCGAAAGCGUGGGUAGCAAACAGG
rnacentral:rRNA from 1 species